AUUGAACGCUGGCGGCAGGCUUAACACAUGCAAGUCGAGCGGAGAUGAGGUGCUUGCACCUUAUCUUAGCGGCGGACGGGUGAGUAAUGCUUAGGAAUCUGCCUAUUAGUGGGGGACAACAUUCCGAAAGGAAUGCCAAUACCGCAUACGUCCUACGGGAGAAAGCAGGGGAUCUUCGGACCUUGCGCUAAUAGAUGAGCCUAAGUCGGAUUAGCUAGUUGGUGGGGUAAAGGCCUACCAAGGCGACGAUCUGUAGCGGGUCUGAGAGGAUGAGCCGCCACACUGGGACUGAGACCCGGCCCAGACUCCUACGGGAGGCAGCAGUGGGGAAUAUUGGACAAUGGGGGGAACCCUGAUCCAGCCAUGCCGCGUGUGUGAAGAAGGCCUUAUGGUUGUAAAGCACUUUAAGCGAGGAGGAGGCUACUGAGACUAAUACUCUUGGAUAGUGGACGUUACUCGCAGAAUAAGCACCGGCUAACUCUGUGCCAGCAGCCGCCGUAAGAC
rnacentral:rRNA from 1 species